rnacentral:rRNA from 1 species
UACGAAGGGGGCUAGCGUUGCUCGGAAUCACUGGGCGUAAAGGGUGCGUAGGCGGGUCUUUAAGUCAGGGGUGAAAUCCUGGAGCUCAACUCCAGAACUGCCUUUGAUACUGAGGAGCUUGAGUUCGGGAGAGGAGAGUGGAACUGCGAGUGUAGAGGUGAAAUUCGUAGAUAUUCGCAAGAACACCAGUGGCGAAGGCGGCUCACUGGCCCGAUACUGACGCUGAGGCACGAAAGCGUGGGGAGCAAACAGG